rnacentral:lncRNA from 1 species
AGUCUUUUUGAUCCUUAAGAAGAGGAGCAAAGCUUUUGGAACGAGCUGAGAUUCCACUUUAGAUCCACGUACGUGGCUCAGGCAGAAGCCUCUGAAUCUUAUGGGUCUCUGUGAAUAUUGAAGUGAUCCCAGUCACCAAGGGAUGAUGCCUCCCUCUCCAGCCAGCCACUUCACCUCUUCCUCUACGAAUCUCUGGCUGGAUAAUAGCAGGGACCUCAUUUUCUUACUGGGGUCCCAAAGCGACUCCUCUUGACUGUGGCAUAGAGUUAUUUCUCCAAACAAGCACGCGGCAUUUCCCAAGC